CACCAAGACUGCUCUAAUUCGGCAAGCGCCAGGGACUUAAGUUAAAAGCAUUAAGCCUCUGGGAAAGACGUAUCCAAUUGAAAAGGGAGGAGGUGGUUACGAGAACUCAAAGCAAUAUUACUACAAUUGGGUUUGGUUUUAUUAUUGCCCAUACAGGCGCGAAUCGAUUUUUUAUUACCUAUAAAAGGCGACAGAGAAAAUCUCUUCGACUAUUACAACACAUAAAGACAAUACAUACGCGACAAGCAUAAACUCGGGGAACAAAAAAUUACAAAAAGAUGAAAUCAGAAGAAAAAAUGAAAGAAACGAAUGAUAAUAUGAAAGAAUGAAAAUGAGGUGCAAUGCCCACUCGAUCCCGAAAGUCGAGUGGUUACAUUUAUACAGUUUUUUUCUCUUUUAUAUAAAAAGUCUAAGUAUA